rnacentral:rRNA from 1 species
UAGGGAAUUUUCCACAAUGGGCGAAAGCCUGAUGGAGCAACGCCGCGUGCAGGAUGAAGGCCCUCGGGUCGUAAACUGCUUUUAUGUGAGAAGAAUAUGACGGUAACACAUGAAUAAGGGUCGGCUAACUACGUGCCAGCAGCCGCGGUCAUACGUAGGACCCAAGCGUUAUCCGGAAUUACUGGGCGUAAAGAGUUGCGUAGGUGGCACUAUAAGUGGAGCGUGAAAGCGUGCGGCUCAACCGCAUUACUGCGUUCCAAACUGUAGAGCUUGAGUAUGAGAGGGGUAGAUGGAAUUUCUAGUGUAGGAGUGAAAUCCGUAGAUAUUAGAAGGAACACCGAUAGCGUAGGCAGUCUACUGGCUCAUUACUGACACUAAGGCACGAAAGCGUGGGGAGCAAACG